UGGUGACAGGCAGAGGGAGUGAUGGAGGCAGAUGCAGUGAGACCAGUUCUAGGGGCUGUAUCAUCUUCCCUAUUCAUCACUUCAUAGUCAAACUCCAAGUCUUUCAGCCAUUUUCCAGUUACUUCCCUGGGGUCAUGCUGAUUGAAAAGAGCCCACUACAAAUUUAAAAUUAAUUGGAAACUAAUAAUCUAAUUCUUCAAAACUGAAGAGAAAAAGGAAGCAAAAUCAAAAUAAAACAUCUCUGCCUUCACUCAUCUUUCCAUUAUCAUCUUUCCAUCUACUCCAAGUACAGGAUCUACCUUUUCUUUUGUGCUACAUUAAAAAAAAAACUUUAAAAAAGAAGAAAAAGCCUUAUAUGUAUCUGUCCUUGGUUUUUCCCAUCAUCUUCAUCUCAUUCUGAAUUGCAGUUCUUCAAACAACCUUUUUGUAGGACUAGGAGUUAGUACAGCCUUUGAAUACAGAAGUAACAGGAUCGUCUCUAGGAAGAGGUAUGAUUGAAAGAAUUAAUGAAUAAAUGAACAGAUGUAAAA
rnacentral:lncRNA from 1 species